rnacentral:rRNA from 1 species
GAAGAACGCUGGCGGCGUGUCUAAUAAAUGCAAGUAGAUCGCAGUUCCGAACGGGUGAGUAACGCGUAGGUAACUGGCUAAUAGCGGGGGAUAACUGUUGGAAACGAUAGCUAAUACCGCAUAAUGUGACAUGGACCUGACUUGUAUUAGCUAGUUGGUGGGGUAAAGGCUCACCAAGGCGACGCUACGUAGCCGACUUGGGAGGGUUAGCGGCCACCAUUGUACGUAGACACGGCCCCAGAUCCUACGAGAGGCAGCAGUAGGGAAUCUUCGGCAAUGGGCUGAAGUCUGACCGCGCAGCGCCGCGUGAGUGAAGAAGGUUUUCGGAUCGUAAUGCUCUGUUGUUAGAUAAGCGGUAACUAACCAGAAAGGUACGGCUAACUACGUGCCAGCAGCCGCGGUAAUAC